rnacentral:rRNA from 1 species
UACGUAGGGGGCUAGCGUUGUCCGGAAUCAUUGGGCGUAAAGAGCGUGUAGGCGGUCCGGUAAGUCCGCUGUGAAAGUCGGGGGCUCAACCCUCGAAUGCCGGUGGAUACUGUCGGGCUAGAGUGCGGAAGAGGCGAGUGGAAUUCCUGGUGUAGCGGUGAAAUGCGCAGAUAUCAGGAGGAACACCGGUGGCGAAGGCGGUUCUCUGGGCCUGUACUGACGCUGAGGAACGAAAGCGUGGGGAGCGAACAGG